CUCUCUUGCUCGCUCUCCUCCUCGAUCCUCUCAUGGUCCCAUUUAGUCCGUCGGCCAUGUUCAGCCCGGAAUCUUCCCUCUGCCUGCUUCUUCCUUGUCGCCACAAUAUAAACUGUCUCCAUACUUUAGGAGGAGUCGUGUCUGCCUCUUUUUAUUUCGUUUUUUUUUUUUUUUCCAGUCUUCUGGUGCUGUAACCUGGGAUUGGCAUACGUGAGUCCUCUUCCAACCUCCUCUGGCCUCUGAACCAAGCUGCUGACUUGAUUCUUUUAAGAUCAUGUUCGAAGCUCCCUCGAGGAGUUUCCUUCCCUCGGGAGCUGUCUGGUCUGUCUCUUCCUUAUUGGAAUCCUCCCAUAACACUUCCUGGGGAAGCACAGAGGCCCAGCUACAUCCUCAGAGUGGCUCAUCCAGAUAUCUCCCUUAUAUAACUUCUUCCCUGGGAGGCAAACAGAUGCAAACCAAGGGACCCACCCUGCUGACCUCAUACCCUGCAUGGACUACACAGAUAAGCAGGUGAUUCCUCUCAGUGACGCCAUGACCCUACAUGAUUCAGCUGCCUGCUGCAAACUCUCCAAUUAGAGCUCAGGAAAACCUGCUUGGGUAACACCCUGGACCCCCAAAACACUUUGCUCACUGGUACCCUCUCCCCACUGACCCUUUAGCAUCUUGCUGAUGUGGGAGAGCCCAACCCACUGUGGGCGGUACCAUCCCUUGGCUUGCCACUGUGGGCGGUACCAUCCCUUGGCUUGCCACUGUGGGCGGUACCAUCCCUUGGCUUGUGGUCUUGGGUUGUAUAAGAAGAAGGAGUCUGAGAGGCUGGAGAAAUAGCUCAAUGACUAAGAGUACUGGCUCCUCUUCCAGAGGCCCCAGGUUUGGUUCCCAGCACCCAUGCAAUGGCUGACAACUGUUAACUCUACUGUCAGGAGAUUCAAUGUGGUCCAUAGACAAAACAUACCCAUACAUAUAUCACAAUUAUUAACAACAAGAAAUUAAGCUGAGUGAGCCAGUGUUCUCCAUGGUCUCUACAUCAGUUCUCCAUUACAGAUUCCCGUCUGCUUGAGUUGGCUUUACCUCACUUGCCUUGGCUUCCCUUCACCAUGAGCUGGGCUUGGGGCGUGGAAGCCAAAUAAACCCUGUUCUUGAAAGUCUUUAUCAAAGCAAUGGGAAGCAAACUUUUGCAUCCCCCAAGGUACACCUCUCCCCUCCUGGAGCGAUCAAUACAAUGCUUUACCCAGCUUCCUUUUCUGUGUCAGGCCUGAUCCACCCCCAGACCCCUAGCCUUCUUGUGAUGGGGAUGUCCUGGAAAGAGGACAAAACUGAGCUUAUCACACUAUAAACUCCAAGAUCAAAUUAGAAAGAGAAAUAAGCCACAAGGAGGCUCAGAAUGAAGAGAACAGGAAGGGUCUGACAGGAGUCAGGUGAGGUAAAGCCAACUGCUCUGUGAAGAGAGACAAGCAGAAAUGAGCCAAGGUCCAGGAUGAAUGGUGCCAUGGUU